rnacentral:lncRNA from 1 species
GGGUGAGAAAGUCUCGUUCUGUCUCACGUCUCAGCGUGUGUCUUUUGUUCAUCAGGAGACGAGCGUGAGCUGAUAGUGAGUAGAUCUGAGCCCAAAGCCGUCAUCGCUGGGUUUGACCGCAGGAAAGAGUACAGCGUGAAGAUCACAGCCGUCAGAGGAGCUGCGCAGAGUAAAGCCCUGCUGGGCAGAUUCACUGGAUCGGGAUCGGGGUCAGAGGUGAGUGACGUCAGAGAGACGCUCGGUCAGCAGGACACCAGCGCAGACCCGCAGGACAACGAGAUCAGAGAAGGUGAGGUGAAACUAAACAUCAGUCCUGAGCUUCAUCUGGAGACCCCAAGCAGAAGAAAGCGCCACCCUCAGAGCACUAAAUCACAGUCAGUCUUUCUGAUCUAUCAGAUAUAUAAUAACAGUAGUAUCAGUGAGACAUACUCUUACUAAACCUCAGCUGACACAGUAUUACUCUGCUCUAUAAUGUGAGAGUGCACAUUUGCAUUCAUUCGCCCAGCUCUAAUCCGAAUCAGUGACAGCACAAGCGAUGUGUCAUAAGAGCAUAUUCAUAGCACAUAGAGGGUCAAUGCUGAUGGGAGGUUAAUGGAGAGAAAUGCUAGUGUCAUUGCUUGCUUUACGAAGCGCUGAGGAAAAGAGGAAGUGAAGAGAAAGUAGAAAUGAAUGCCUUAUAAAGGUCUUAAAUCAGAGCAGAAGUCUUGAAUUCAUAGUCAUGGCAUUAAAUGUUGCAUGCACUGCAAACAAAAUGAUAUCUUCCUUAGUAUCUUUGUCUUGUUUUCCAAUUGAAAUAUCUAAACAUUCCUAAAUCAAUAUACAAUAUGUUUACUUGAGAUGCAAAAUGUGGAAGAACGAAAUCAAGUGAGUUUAUGCUUAAAGCAAGAACUAAUAUCUGCCAGUGGAUAAUGAAAACUUGUUUCUCCUUGGACUGAAGUUGAUUCUUCUGCAAAACAAGACAAAAAUACUGAGGAAGAACAUGAUUUUUGCAGUGUGAUCAGAAGCUUCAGUAAAAGUAAAAGAAGCGGCUAUUGUGCCUAAAAUGUAAAUCACUUAAUUUUAACCUCUUGUUUAUUGAAAUACUAUUGUAUGAAAUCACAUGAAAUCGGAAGCACAGUUGCGCU